rnacentral:ncRNA from 1 species
UAAUAAAACAAACAGAUGAGAACAUUCGUAAAUACAUAUUGGUGGUGGCGCUCUUUACAACUCACAAAGUCGUAAGGGACGAAGGCCGUAUGUAUAUACCAAGAUAAGAACAAAGAGGUCUGUC